UUAAUAGAAGCCAAAGAGAGGCAUAUUAUUGUUAAUAAUACAAUUGAAUUUUGAUUCCUAUUAAG
rnacentral:tRNA from 1 species